CCAUCUGGAAGAAUCUGGAGACAGGUGCUGCAUGGCUGUCGUCAGCUCGUGUCGUGAGAUGUUGGGUUAAGUCCCGCAACGAGCGCAACCCUUGCCUUUAGUUGCCAGCAGUUCGGCUGGGCACUCUAAAGGGACUGCCGGUGUUAAACCGGAGGAAGGUGGGGGAGUGACGUCAAGUCCUCAUGGCCUUUAUGACCAGGGCUACACACGUACUACAAUGGCCGAUACAAAGGGCAGCGACACUGCGAGGUGAAGCCAAUCCCGUAAAAUCGGUCUCAGUCCGGAUUGGAGUCUGCAACUCGACUCCAUGAAGUUGGAAUCGCUAGUAAUCGUGGAUCAGCAUGCCACGGUGAAUACGUUCCCGGGCCUU
rnacentral:rRNA from 1 species